AAUGGAAGUGAGCAGUUGAUGCAUAUGGCCGCAUGGGCAGCCUACCGGACCUGACGGAGCGUUCGCGGUCGAGCGUCCGCCCAGCCGCGCGGACCAUCUCAGACCCCAAUCGACAUAGAACCGUUGUACCACAGAUUCCUGUUAACACAAUAUACAAGAAGGAAUGGCCAUGGAGGAAAACAAAGACCCCUAUAAAGUUGCCACCUGUGCCUGGAAAUCGACGGAGAGAGUCAGUUGCAUCGUCCCUCGGUGCCGCCUCAGUCCGGCGCCUUAUUACGCGACCGCCCCAAAAACUCCCCAAACCUGUUAUUACACGGUUCACUCUUCUCUGCAUAGCAAGUGGCCUCUCCUCCACAGCUCUUCUCCCUUUCACGGCAUACGCAGGCGCCGAAGCUGGUGCCAUGCCUUUAGCUAUAAUGCACACCAUCGCGGCCAUUGCAUCACCUUUCUCUCCCAUCAUCCUACAAAAAGCAGGAACCAGGAUAGUCAUUAAUUUAAGCUACGUUUUGAUUUGCGUUCUUUUAGCCGCUCAUACGGUUGAUACGCCUCUGUCUAUUCUUCUCUUUCUCUAUAGUAUUUGUGGGGUUAUGCUCUCUCCAAUGGAACUGGCUCUGGCUGCGUCUGCGACGUCUUUUUCACAAGCAGCUGGCGAUGAAUGCAGGAAGAAAAUAGCGCUGAGACGAGCGUUGAGAGCUCUUCGAGCGUCACAUGACUUGGGGCUGGUGUUGGGAUCGCUUAUGUUAGGAGGAGCUUUAUUAAUCUGGCCAGAAGAUUUAUUACCACUACUGCAGCCAAAUUCAAUACAUAAUUAUACAACGCCAAGUUGGCCACCAUCAGAGGAUGAUUUAGUUGAAGAAGACUUUGAGGAAAGGACAUGUGGAGCGUUCGGUUGUCCAGACAUCCAGUCACUGGUAGGCACGGCUCUUAGUGCAAAUGGUCGCCGGGUUUUGGUAGCUGUUUGGGCGUUUAUGGCGUUAGUUGCCUCGAUUUUGGCCCUCUACGGGGCAGCUGCAACUCCAUCACCACCGCCAGAUGCUCGUUCUGUGCUUAAAGAUGCCAGAGGACUUCUAGGAAUUCCCAUGGGAUUAUUUAUUGGAUUGCAACAGGGUUUUAUAUAUACUUCAUACAUUAAGUGGUACGGCGUAUGUGUAGGUGGUUGGAACGAAGCUUGGCGUGCACUUUGCGGCGCUGGAGCGCUACAAGCGUUAGCCGCUGCUACUCUCAGUAUGGCAGCCGCUCGAGGAAGACGUAGCUAUUUAGGCGCUGGAGGUGCUGCAGCCCAUGCUUCAUUGUUGCUAGCGUUACUUCGCUGGAGAGCUGCUAAAACUGAUCUAGCUCUACCCACAGUUGCAGCCGCUGCAUGGGGCGCUUGUUCCGCUUUGUGGGAUGUGUUACAGGGUGGAAUAUCAGUAGGAGGUCCUGGGUGGCGUGGGCCUUGGUCCCUUACACUCAGCGCACGACAUGCGGGGCUGGCUCUAGCCUGUGCAGCGCGACAGGUUCUCUGUGUGAGGACACAGCUCGCUGUUCUAGCACUUGCCCUUUUCACCGCCUUGUCGUCCCAUGCUGUACUGGAGCUGCGGCUUAGGAGGGAAAUCCGUCAUCGCUCCUAGCGACGGUAUGGCCAAGCCAAAGAGAACAAUGCAUUCCAUGUUAUGGCUUGACAGUGACAAGUUUUGAUGUUUGGUGUUAUGAACAGUGUUUAGUGUCAGAUUCUUCCAUUUACUUGACAUUGACAGAAUCUUUUCUAACUGGAAAGCAACUUAAAAUGAAUGUCAUGUUUGACCAAGAAGAUGGCAAUGUUAUCUUUAAUUCAUAUAGUUUGUAAGUUAUUUACCGAUUUCAUAAUAAGAAUAACGCAGAAAUGGCCGAAGUUUUUUUAUUUAGAAUUCUUGUGUAAUAAAAUGCAAGAUCAUAUUAGUCUCAUCGAUGUCGCAGCCCUUAUUCAUUUUUGUACCGCGCUCCCAAUGUUGGGUUUUCGGCGCUACGGAUAUUAAGAGAAAUGAAUCAAACUUGAAUACAAACACGUCAUAAUCGAUAUUAGAUGUUACGAACCCUGGCGUCUGUUAUAGACUUCACCUGUUCAUAUCACAUCUAUUCUGUGGUAGAAACUUCGUACAUUUCCGCCUCGCCUUUGCUAAACGUUUCAAUCUACUAAUUGCUUUACACCACUAGAUUUUUCUUAUGGUUAUGACAUAUCGCUUGCCCAGGGGAACAAAGUCGUAAAAGCUAAAUCUAUUAUUUUCGAGGCAAAUAAAAGAAGGUAGGUAAUGCUAUUGUUUUCCUAUGCGACGAUUUAAACAUUAUUUUUUUUUAAUUUAGUGUAAAUAGUUAAAAAAAUAACUAAAUGUACAUAACAGUAAUUUAUCUAAUUAGACUGAAAAAGGCGUUUUAUGAUUGAUUAACUCCGUACAUUACGACGGUAAUUUUGACGAAUGUCUCGAACGCAAUAAUUUAUAACUCUCUCUUCGCGUAUAAUAAUUUAUACGUAAUGACCUUGGUGAAACAGAGAUAUAUUAUUAUCUCUCUUUCUUUGUUUUUAAACUGUCACAUUAACUUUUAUGAUUAUUUGGUAAAAUUACAAUCUGAAUAAAAAUUAUCUUUAUAGUUGUUGCUAUCUAUUUCAGGAUAGUAAAAUUAGAAAAACGUUUAUUACUAAUAUUGUGAACAAAAAAAUCCGUGGAGUAUAGCCAUUCUUUCUUCUUUUUUUUAAAUAAAAUGUUUUGAAAAUUAUAGUUAUAUUAUAUAAAAUUACAUCACCCAAAGUAGUCAAAUAUGAGAAAACAUUAAAACAGUCGUAAUAGUGCUUUACGACUUUGAUCCCCGGGCAAGCGAUAUAAUACAAAUAAUAAUGAUGAUUUCAUUGUAUCUUCAUCUAAAACUUGGUGUAUAUAAUAGACUUUCUAUUGCCCCAAUCAGGGUAGACUUUCUAAAGUGCUGUGAAUGUUAAUUGUUAGUAAAAAAUCGUUGCUUCUUUAUAUCGUCAAAUAGAACUCCAUUUCAUAUGCACAUUUUAAAACUUAUAUAUCACUCGUCUUGAGAUUGAAAAUCUACUUUAAAAUGUUAUAUAUUAUAACGAAUUUGUAUUAAUAAGUGUAUCGAAAUAUCGAUUUUUACUCAUGAAUGAAACGUAUCAAAUACCUGUGAAAUAAAUCCGUAUUAAACUUGACAAUUUAAUGACCAAAAACAACCACUGCGCAUGUGUAGACUUUUGGUAACGUGAGGGGAACUAUACAAGAUACAUCUUGAAAACUAUCGCGUCUAAAGCUUGCUAUAGACCAGUGUUUCCCAAACUUAUGUGCCAUGUGCCUUUCUAAAGUUCUUACGUUACAUACAUACAUACAGAAACUUAAAUGAUAGGUUUUAGGAAUCAAUAGGGAUUUGUUAACGAAACACAGUAAGUAAAUUUUCAGAACAUAUAAUGAAAAAAUGAAAUUCAAAUUCAAAAUAAUUUUAAAAAAGAUUUUUCUAUAUUAAUUAAUUAUUUUAAUUUAGUGAGAUCCUUGCGCUUGAUACUUGCUGCAUAGAGAUAUUAAGUUAGCUUCAGUCUCAAGUCUCCACGUUGUCCAGCCGAUUUCGAUUUCCCCUCCCCCUUAACAAAUUGCCCCCCUAUGGCGUGUGGUCCACGUUGGGAAACACUGCCAUAGACACUUGACUCGACAAUUUUCAAGAUUCUAUUUUAACUUGCAACGUUUUUUGUUGCGAGUCGCGUAUCAAACUAUAAGAUGUAUAAAGAUAUAAAAGGGUAUCAAAAACUAUAUCUAUGCUACUUUGUUUAGUCAUUAGUGCAACAAAAAUUGUUUACGUUUAAUCUUUAUAACUUCCAAUGUUAGUAAAUAAUUACUUGUAAGUUGUAUCAAUAAUAAUUACAUUGUAUUUGUUUAUAUAGUUUUCCUAUAUAAGCAGAUAAGCCAGAAUAAUUUGUAAUUUUAGUUAUUAUAUUGUAUUUACAACUGUAUUGUUGUAAUAAAGAUUCUUAUUCUCAGUAUGACUCAAAUUUUUCGAUUGAUAAGUAUGUGUUAAAUGUUUAGAUUUAUAUGGAAAAUAAAUAUUGAUUGUUGGUU